rnacentral:rRNA from 1 species
UACAGAGGUCUCAAGCGUUGUUCGGAUUCAUUGGGCGUAAAGGGUGCGUAGGCGGCGUGGUAAGUCGGGUGUGAAAUCUCGGAGCUUAACUCCGAAACUGCAUUCGAUACUGCCGUGCUUGAGGACUGGAGAGGAGACUGGAAUUUACGGUGUAGCGGUGAAAUGCGUAGAUAUCGUAAGGAAGACCAGUGGCGAAGGCGGGUCUCUGGGCCGAAACUGACGCUGAGGAGCGAAAGCGUGGGGAGCAAACAGG